rnacentral:rRNA from 1 species
ACCGCAUGGUUCAAAAGUGAAAGACGGUUUUGCUGUCACUUAUAGAUGGAUCCGCGCCGUAUUAGCUAGUUGGUAAGGUAACGGCUUACCAAGGCAACGAUGCAUAGCCGACCUGAGAGGGUGAUCGGCCACACUGGAACUGAGACACGGUCCAGACUCCUACGGGAGGCAGCAGUAGGGAAUCUUCCGCAAUGGGCGAAAGCCUGACGGAGCAACGCCGCGUGAGUGAUGAAGGUCUUCGGCUCGUAAAACUCUGUUAUUAGGGAAGAACAAAUGUGUAAGUAACUGUGCACAUCUUGACGGUACCUAAUCAGAAAGCCACGGCUAACUACGUGCCAGCAGCCGCGGUAAUACGUAGGUGGCAAGCGUUAUCCGGAAUUAUUGGGCGUAAAGCGCGCGUAGGCGGUUUCUUAAGUCUGAUGUGAAAGCCCACGGCUCAACCGUGGAGGGUCAUUGGAAACUGGGAAACUUGAGUGCAGAAGAGGAAAGUGGAAUUCCAUGUGUAGCGGUGAAAUGCGCAGAGAUAUGGAGGAACACCAGUGGCGAAGGCGACUUUCUGGUCUGUAACUGACGCUGAUGUGCGAAAGCGUGGGGAUCAAACAGGAUUAGAUACCCUGGUAGUCCACGCCGUAAACGAUGAGUGCUAAGUGUUAGGGGGUUUCCGCCCCUUAGUGCUGCAGCUAACGCAUUAAGCACUCCGCCUGGGGAGUACGACCGCAAGGUU